rnacentral:rRNA from 1 species
ACUCCUACGGGAGGCAGCAGUGGGGAAUAUUGCACAAUGGGGGGAACCCUGAUGCAGCAAUGCCGCGUGAAGGAUGAAGGUUUUCGGAUUGUAAACUUCUUUUGUACGGGACGAAGAAAGUGACGGUACCGUAAGAAUAAGCCACGGCUAACUACGUGCCAGCAGCCGCGGUAAUACGUAGGUGGCAAGCGUUGUCCGGAUUUACUGGGUGUAAAGGGCGUGCAGCCGGAGAGACAAGUCAGAUGUGAAAUCCACGGGCUCAACCCGUGAACUGCAUUUGAAACUGUUUCCCUUGAGUGUCGGAG